rnacentral:rRNA from 1 species
GACGAACGCUGGCGGCGUGCCUAAUACAUGCAAGUCGAACGCAGUGGGGACGGGUGAGUAACACGUGGGUAACCUCCCAUCAGAGGGGAUAACACUUGGAAAUAGGUGCUAAACCGAUACUGAUGGAUGGACCCGCGGUGCAUUAGCUAGUUGGUGAGGUAACGGCUCACCAAGGCCACGAUGCAUAGCCGACCUGAGAGGGUGACCGGCAACACUGGGACUGAGACACGGCCCAGACUCCUACGGGAGGCAGCAGUAGGGAAUAUUGGGCAAUGGGCGAAAGUCUGAGCGAGCAAUGCCGCGGGAGUGAAGAAGGUGUUCGGGUCGUAAAGCGCGGUUGUUAGGGAAGCGGUAUCUAACCAGAAAGCCACGGCUAACUACGUGCCAGCAGCCGCGGUAAUUC